GUGCUCACUUAAGCAGUACGUAUAUCAAAAAUUGGAAUGAUACAGAGAUUAGCAUGUCUCAUGCACAAGGAUGACACAAAAAUUCAUAAAGUAUUCCAUAUUUUU
rnacentral:snRNA from 1 species